rnacentral:rRNA from 1 species
CCCUUAGAUGUUCUGGGCUGCACGCGCGCUACACUGAUACUUUCAGCGAGUCCACCACCUUGCCUGGGAGGGUGGGGUAACCUCUGGAAAGUGCAUCGUGAUGGGGAUCGAUUAUUGUAAUUAUUAAUCUUCAACGAGGAAUUCCUAGUAAGCAUGUGUCAUCAGCCCGUGCUGAUUACGUCCCUGCCCUUUGUACACACCGCCCGUCGCUCCUACCGAUUGAAUGGUCCGGUGAAAUCUCGGGACGGCGGCUUGGUCGCUUGCGUCCGACUGCUGAAACUUGAUUAAACCAUAUCAUUUAGAGGAAGGUGAAGUCGUAACA